UACGUAGGGGGCUAGCGUUGUCCGGAUUUAUUGGGCGUAAAGGGCGCGUAGGCGGCUAGACAAGUCAAAGGUGAAAUCCCUCGGCUCAACUGAGGAACUGCCUUUGAAACUGUCUGGCUUGAGGCCGGGAGGGGGUAGCGGAAUUCCCAGUGUAGCGGUGAAAUGCGUAGAUAUUGGGAGGAACACCAGUGGCGAAGGCGGCUACCUGGACCGGUUCUGACGCUGAUGCGCGAAAGCGUGGGUAGCAAACAGG
rnacentral:rRNA from 1 species